AUACGAAAGGUGCAAGCGUUGUUCGGAUUUACUGGGCGUAAAGAGAGUGUAGGUGGUUUAUUAAGUCGGACGUGAAAUCCCGGGGCUCAACCUCGGAACUGCAUUCGAUACUGAUAGGCUAGAGUUUGGGAGGGGUAAGCGGAAUUCCGUGUGUAGCAGUGAAAUGCGUAGAUAUACGGAGGAACACCUGAGGCGAAGGCGGCUUACUGGACCAAUACUGACACUGAGACUCGAAAGCGUGGGUAGCAAACAGGAUUAGAAACCCUAGUAGUCC
rnacentral:rRNA from 1 species